AAUGAACGCUGGCGGCGUGCUUAACACAUGCAAGUCGAACGAGAAAGGCGAAUUUCGGUUUGCCGAGUAAAGUGGCGUACGGGUGAGUAACGCGUAGGCAACCUGCCCAUGUGCUUGGGAUAACAGAGCGAAAGUUCUGCUAAUACCGGAUACGAUCAUUGAUCGAGAGGUUGAUGAUGAAAGUCUGCCACUCGGAGAAGCAGACGCACAUGGAGGGGCCUGCGUCCUAUCAGCUAGUUGGUAGGGUAACGGCCGACCAAGGCGACGACGGGUAGCUGGGGAGAGACGAGGAGCAGCCAGACUGGCACUGGAACAGGGGCCAGACGCCUACGGGAGGCAGCAGUGAGGAAUUGUGCGGAAUGGCCGCAAGGCUGACGCAGCAACGCCGCGUGGGUGAUGAAGGCCUUCGGGUCGUAAAGCCCUGUCAGGUGGGAAAAAAGUCACGAGGUCGAAUAGGCUUUGUGUUUGACGGUACCACCAGAGGAAGCACCGGCUAACUCCGUGCCAGCAGCCGCAGUAAGAC
rnacentral:rRNA from 1 species